rnacentral:tRNA from 1 species
CUGCCCAUAGCUCAACCGGAUAGAGCACCAGCCUUCUAAGCUGGGGGUUCCAAGUUCGAUUCUUGGUGGGCAGGCCA